GGUAUAGUUAGCUUGCUAACUAGAGACCGGCGCACGGGUGCGUAACGCGUAUGCAAUCUACCUUGUUCAAAGGGAUAGCCCAGAGAAAUUUGGAUUAAUACCUUAUAGUAUUAUAAAGUGGCAUCAUUUAAUAAUUAAAGAUUUAUCGGAACAAGAUGAGCAUGCGUCCCAUUAGCUAGUUGGUAUGGUAACGGCAUACCAAGGCAAUGAUGGGUAGGGGUCCUGGGAGGGAGAUCCCCCACACUGGUACUGAGACACGGACCAGACUCCUACGGGAGGCAGCAGUGAGGAAUAUUGGACAAUGGGCGCAAGCCUGAUCCAGCCAUGCCGCGUGCAGGAAGACGGUCCUAUGGAUUGUAAACUGCUUUUAUACAGGAAGAAACACCCCGACGUGUCGGGACUUGACGGUACUGUAGGAAUAAGGAUCGGCUAACUCCGUGCCAGCAGCCGCGGUAAUACGGAGGAUCCAAGCGUUAUCCGGAAUCAUUGGGUUUAAAGGGUCCGUAGGCGGCCUUAUAAGUCAGUGGUGAAAUCUCCCAGCUCAACUGGGAAACUGCCAUUGAUACUGUAGGGCUUGAAUUAUUAGGAAGUAACUAGAAUAUGUAGUGUAGCGGUGAAAU
rnacentral:rRNA from 1 species